rnacentral:rRNA from 1 species
GGUUAAGUUAGAAAGGGCGCACGGUGGAUGCCUUGGCACUAGGAGCCGAAGAAGGACGGGACUAACACCGAUAUGCUUUGGGGAGCUGUACGUAAGCGUUGAUCCA